AAAACCUGGCUGACAUUUGAUAGGAAUACUGUGAGCUUCCUGAAAUUUACAUUCCCAACCAGCCCCGGCAAUACUAAAGCCAAUUCUCUUUUCAGGGGUAAUAAUCAUAAUCAUCACAAUAAUAAAGUAAUAAUAAUAAUUUUCUUUGCAAUUCAGAUCAUGACAGAAAACUUGCCAGAACAGUUACAAAACCUUGCAGAAUUGAUGACAUUAAGGAAAUUUAUUUGGCAAGGAAGUUGAGACUAUGUCAAGAGGAGAAUAAGAUGCGAACAGAUGUUCAACAACUGAAGUUGAGAGACAGUCAAGGAUAGUAGAUUGCAUCCUGAGUGAUACUGAAGGGUUGUCAGUGAAUAUACACAUGAUAACAUGUCGAGGACAUCAAAUGACUCUCCCUGACUCUCCCAGUGCCAGAAGCCUCUUUUUGACAAAGCUGCAUUGCAUUUGGAGGAACAGUGAGGAAGUACCUUACCAGUCAAUCUCUCCUGGGACAUGGUACAUUCACAUGAAGACAGUUUGUUCAUUUGAGGUGCCCAUGGCUUGAAGUUGACUUGAUAUUGCCUGGAUGGUUUCUGUAGCUUUAGUCACUCAAUACAGUUAAAGGCUCACUAAAAAUCUGAAUCUUGACCAUCGGACUAUACUUUUCUUUUCCAAACUCUGCCAGUGCACAGAGAACAACCCUAGAGCCACAGGAUUUCUGCAGCUCAGGGGACAUGUUCAGUCCAGGGACCAAGUGAAGGCUCAAAAUCCACGUCUCUGUUGUAGUGGAAAAGCUUAUAUCCUUUCUAUGUGCUUAAUGUUAUGAUACAGACCUUGUGGUACUUUCCUUAAUGAUAGUAUAUAUGAUAGAUAGAUUAUUACAACGGCUCUAGGAAUAAUCAAAGUUUCAAUUACUUCUCCUAGCUUAUGUUUUUGCAGUUUUUAAAUUUUGUGAAUUGGAAAUAGUUAAGACAGCUCUCACUUUAAUUUAUAGUCUUGGCUUUGUGCUCUGCAGUAGGCACUGAGACUGAAAAACAAUUCUGAAAAAAUAGACAAGGAGCUUAAUUUGCUAAUGAUUAAUUAAAAUAUAUAUAGGAGAAAAAAGGAAAAAAAGUCACAAAAAUAUUGUUGUAUGUCUUGUUAUGGCUGAAACUGCGUCUUAAUAAACUGUAGAUUUUAUGCAUAGUUAACCUGUUCACACCCAGGCAAUUGCUGUAGGAAAAAAAGAAGUUAAAACAUUACUAUAGGUUCCAGUUUUUCAAUGUCCUGAAUUAUUAGUGGAAGCUAAAGAAGAAUGAAAAACUGAGCCCCAGAAGGUGAUGAAUAUUUCUAUGAGAAGUGCUAAGCAAUUGGAAUAAAUCAUUAUGAAAAGUGGGGAACAUGUGAGACAGGCAACAAAUAACUGGAGGGCACUUUUUUGUUACCAGUCUGUAUUAAAGUCUGUUUGUAACCAUGGCAACUGGAAGUCCACAUUUACAGCAUUGCUAUCAACAAAUAUUGAAGAGUAACUUACAGCACUUUUCACAUUCAAGCAAUAUUAGCUGCUUUCCCCACUGUGCCCAACACAUAUGUCCUCUGACCCCAGGCUUCUUCCUUCACAGGACAAUCCACAGUAGGGCCAGUUAGGCCCUGCAAGUCUGCGUUGCUCCCUCUUUCAAGUGGACUGGCACACAGCAUUCCUUUUUUCUCAUUAUUAAACCUUUGUCAAUGAUAAUUUUUAAGUUUUACAAGGUGGGCCAGCUAUCCCACAGGGGACAUAAAAAUAACUCUGAUUUAGCAAAGAGGCAUUGUCAUGUAGGAAUGCAGUAAACAGUGUGAUAAUCAAAGAUCUAAUGAUGCACUGAAAUUUUUAUGCACACCUACUCUUAAACACCAUAUCAAAGCAUUCUGGAACGCUUUGGAACAAAUAUUUUGAAAUAAACUUAAGACAAAAAUCA